ACGCUCGACACCUACGGGGGCAGCAGUGGGGAAUAUUGCACAAUGGGGGAAACCCUGAUGCAGCAACGCCGCGUGAAGGAAGACGGUUUUCGGAUUGUAAACUUCUGUUCUUAGUGAAGAUAGUGACGGUAGCUAAGGAGCAAGCCACGGCUAACUACGUGCCAGAAGCCGUGGUAAUCUGAGGCGGCGUGGACGAACGGCG
rnacentral:rRNA from 1 species